rnacentral:rRNA from 1 species
UACGUAGGUGGCAAGCGUUGUCCGGAAUUACUGGGUGUAAAGGGAGCGCAGGCGGGACUGCAAGUUGGAUGUGAAAUGUCGGGGCUUAACCUCGGAACUGCAUCCAAAACUGUAGUUCAUGAGUGGAGUAGAGGCAAGCGGAAUUCCGAGUGUAGCGGUGAAAUGCGUAGAUAUUCGGAGGAACACCAGUGGCGAAGGCGGCUUGCUGGGCUCUAACUGACGCUGAGGCUCGAAAGUGUGGGGAGCAAACAGGAUUAGAUACCCUGGUAGUCCACACUGUAAACGAUGAUUACUAGGUGUGGGAGGUCUGACCCCUUCCGUGCCGCAGUUAACGCAAUAAGUAAUCCACCUGGGGAGUACGACCGCAAGGUUGAA